ensembl:lncRNA
CACCUGACUCAAGGCUGAACUUAUGAAAGUCUUCAAAAUAACCUGAAAUGGUGUAUUGCAACAUAUUCAACAGCCAAUUUUGGCAACCACAGGGUCACGGGGGAACCUGGAGCCAAUCCCAGGGAGCAUGGGGCACAAGGCGGGGUACACCCUGGACAGGGUGCCAGUCCAUCACAGGGCACAAUCACAUACACACUCACACACCCAUUCAUACACUACGGACACUUUAGACACGCCAAUCAGCCUACCAUGCAUGUCUUUGGACUGGGGGAGGAAACCGGAGUACCCGGAGGAAAUCCCCACAGCACGGGGAGAACAUGCAAACUCCGCACACACAGGGCCACG